rnacentral:misc_RNA from 1 species
CGAACAGUACAGGGAUAAGGGCAAGGAGAUCGCCGUUCCCCACCCAUCGGCGCCGCAGCCGGCGAUGGCGGCGCCGCCGCCGCCCCACCAGCGUCCGGCAGCCUCCGGUGUUCCGGCUAAUGCUGCCCACAAGACCGCCGUCGCGCUGGAGGCCAACUCUGUCCGCCUCAAGGCGGUUGCCGACCGCCUCGAGGCGGUUCUCCAGGGCACGAAACCCAG